AGAAAAUGGAAUGGCCCUCUUGUGCAAAACAGGCACGGUUUAAAAAAAAAUACGAAGUGCAGAGAUUGUUAUGCGUGCAGACGAGGCGCAGGGUAGCUCUCCGGAAAGGAGAGUAACAGAUAGGAAGCCGAAGUGGGACAGAACCGCAGAACAGGAGAGCGGCCAAGGCGGAUGAUACAGGGAGAGAAAGGAGGGACAAUGAGCAGGCCGUGACUGGGGAAGAGGCGAGACCAGGUGGGCGUGUUGGGGCAGGGCCGGCCGGCCGGAUCGGGGUUCCACGCGCUCUGCCAGCUGCUGCUGAAGAGGGCGGCCGCUGGUCUCUCUGAUGAGUGCCUGACACUGCUCCUGGUACGACAGCGCCCCCCUCAGGAUCUUACAGUGCGUGUCCAGCUACAGGAAGGGAGCCGCGUAAGACAGGCAGAAGCGUGA